AUUCUGCCCAUGCGGGGAAGGAUGAGAAGCUUCGACCAAGGUUCGACCCGAGGCCAGCGAGAGAGCGUUGCCGCAGGCAACGACCCGUAGGGCGAAGCGCGCAGCGCUGAGUAAUCCUUCCCCCACCACCA
rnacentral:sRNA from 1 species